AAACCAAUCCAGCUUGCUGGGUCUUGGGCCUCUCGCCUCUGGGCGGGCCUCAAAAUCAGUGGCGGUGCUGUCUAGCUCUAAGCGUAGUAAUACUUCUCGCUAUAGACACUAGGCGGUUACUUGCCAAUAACCCCUAAUAUUUCAAA
rnacentral:misc_RNA from 1 species